rnacentral:misc_RNA from 1 species
CUAAGGGGCCCAAGUGUAAAAAGGAAGUGGAGAGAUUGGAGGGGUGGAUUAGGUACUAUUUACAGGAUGGUGGUGGAGAAGAGAAGAGGGAGCCAUUGAGGUUGGCUUUUUUGCUGUUGGGAAAGGCUAAUUUUGAGUCGGAAAAUGAAGAUGGUGCUAGUUUUGGUGGCUUGGACAUCGAGUUCCCUUCAGCAAUUGAGGAGUUUCUGAAGUAUGAUCCACCAAGAGAAUCAAAUUGAGGCAUCACAUUCUUGUGUGGUUUAUUUCUGUAAUUUAUGUUGCCCCAUGGGCCUAGGCAAUUUUAGAUUAUGAGAAAAAUAUGUUGAAUCUGAUUGUGGAAAUUUUCACAUAAAAGAGUCCUGAGAAUUUUCUCUUCCCUGAUUGUUGUUCCCUUCGCUUCCAUAUAUACUUGUAGAUG